rnacentral:rRNA from 1 species
AACGAACGCUGGCGGCAUGCCUAACACAUGCAAGUCGAACGAGACCUUCGGGUCUAGUGGCGCACGGGUGCGUAACACGUGGGAAUCUGCCCUUUGCUUCGGAAUAACAAUUAGAAAUGACUGCUAAUACCGGAUGAUGUCGAAAGACCAAAGAUUUAUCGGCAAAGGAUGAGCCCGCGUAGGAUUAGGUAGUUGGUGGGGUAAAGGCCUACCAAGCCGACGAUCCUUAGCUGGUCUGAGAGGAUGAUCAGCCACACUGGGACUGAGACACGGCCCAGACUCCUACGGGAGGCAGCAGUGGGGAAUAUUGGACAAUGGGCGAAAGCCUGAUCCAGCAAUGCCGCGUGAGUGAUGAAGGCCUUAGGGUUGUAAAGCUCUUUUACCAGGGGUGAUAAUGACAGUACCUGGAGAAUAAGCUCCGGCUAACUCCGUG